UAACAUGUCCGAAUAAUUGAUCGAUAAUGAUAUUCGUAAAACAAUGACAAACCUGGCUUUGAUUAACAGGCGCGUUAAAUCUAUGAGAACUUUUUGUCAACGUUCAAAUUGACUGUGGAGCAAAUGAAUCGCUUGCCUUGAGCUGAUCACACUCGGGAGUUGAGCGUCUGAAUGAGUGGAACAAAUCCGCAAGGAGACAGUUCACUUUGGAAUGGCCACCAAUGAAACCAGGAUAGUCGCUAGGACAAGCAAGAGAAGACGCAGUCAACAGUAACGUUGUGAUAAACUGUUGGAUGAAGAAGACUAAGUUCCAGAGGUUGUGUUUGGCUAUUCUAGAAUCAGUACAAGUGGAAAUAAUCGGAGUUUUCCACCCUCACGAACGUUUUCAGAGAACAGCACAGUCUGAAACUCCGCUUUUCCACCUGCACAAAAGGCAAUGCUCACCUUAUACAGCAGGGUUCACCUUAUAGCCUACAGCCGUGUAAACUCAAGACCCACCGAAUCACUAUAGCCUAUGGACGCAGUGCUCAUUUCAUCCUGGUAGCUAGGCUACAUUAAGCCGCAACUCAUCUUAAUUUCUGAGACUGGAGUUCAGAGAGGAGCGGAAGAAUGAGGUGAGAAGGUUGCUUCCACAAAAGCGCCGCCUUCCGCCGUGCGGGCGUCGCCUCGGGCCAGUAUCAAGCUCCUGCCCGCCUCAGUUCCACAGAGUCGGCCCACGGCAAACGCGGCGUUCAUGGCGGUGUCUGUCAAAACGGCACGGCUGAAGCAUCAGAGCUGCACUGCCAGAAAGUUACCGUUUGCCACCCCUGUGUUUAACCCCAGUGAGUUACCAAUGAGGCGAUGGCCCCCGCAGCGUUCAUCACAGUGUCCGGGUCGUCGUGGGUCAGGAGCCUCCCUAAGGCCCCCACUAGCCCAGCGCUGUCCCCCUGCGUCCCUUCCAGGGUCUCCUGCACCCAGCCGUCUCUCUCCACCAGCGCCCCCAGGAGUGGGGAUCUGUUUGCCGUCUUCAGCAGAUCUGAGCAUCUGGUGUGCUUCACUGUCAUGGUAAUGCCCAUUAAACGGCGGCAGUAAAUUUCACUGGCUUUGAACCUCCUCACCGGACUCAGGCACUCAUCGGGUCAGCCGCAGGCUCCCUCUCCCCUGUUCGGAGUCAGGACCCCGUUACCGUGGAAACGCAUAAACAAGCCCCCCUUCAGAGCGGAGUUAACCCUUUCCGAACGGCGGAGCGGAGGGGCCGGUCACCGUUCAGGCGGCCACGAAACCUAUCGGGCUGCCAGCCCCAGGAAACCUGGCGCUCUUCUGACGCACGUCGUCGGCCCUGACUGAGCGGGUCCUAGCGCGAUACGGACAGAUCGCUCAUAAACGCGCAGGCGCGUGACCCGCCAGGGGGGUCCGUGCGUGAUCUACGGUCACGCUGCGUUUGUACAGUACGCCGAGUUACGAGCCAAACGCGGCCUUGUCUCCCCCCGACACACAAUGGCGUACGGUGAUUGAUUGGCCUCAAUAAAGCUUUCUCAUUAAACCCGACGCGUUUAUCAACUUUUAAAUUUGUCCGCUGGAAAAUGGCUCUACCAGCCAAAACUUGGCCCUACUUCAUUGAGCAAAUACAGUCGCUUUUACAGCCUGGUCCGUCACGCUCAAUACGGCUCGCGUUUAAAAUUUACAGGCGCUGACAUGUUGCGAAGCAUGGCAUUCAGCGGUGUGAGCGCGUCACGCGUGAUCGUUUCUGACCCUUUCAGACGCUUUGUGAUGGGGGUGCUGAGCAGGUACUGGGCUGUGGGAAAGGGCAAAUGCACAGACCGAUCAGUAAAUUCUGCAUUCAGCACACGGGCAUUUACUACACUGGGCAUGAAUAGAUUUGUCAGACUAUAAACAUUUUAAGUUACGGUGGGUGUCUGCGCUCGCUAACAGUGGGUAGCAUUUCAGCUGUAAGUACAAUGCUAUCUAAAGCACACUGUCUGCGAAGAAUUUGUUAUUUUAAUCCAACGGGUUUUGAGCGUCAGGACACUGAAAUUGUGUAAACAACACAGAAGAACCCAGAAUUAUAACCACCAUUCUGGUGCUCAGUGAUUAUUGUGUUACGGAUGGACGGUCUAAUCAGUCAGUGGAAUCCUUUAUGAAGCUUUUGUCAUUUAUGUAGUGUAUUAUUAAAUACAAUAACAGAUAUGAAUCUGUUUAUUACCAAACUGUCCCAUGAGUGGAAUCUGAUUGUGAAAUGUCUGUCAUGCCCAUAAUGUUGUUUCCCUU